GCCUGGCUGGCUCAAUUGGUAGAGCAUGCAACUCUUGAUCUCAGGGUCAUGAGUUCAAACCCCAUGUGUGGCA
rfam:Ailuropoda melanoleuca scaffold335_30, whole genome shotgun sequence.